rnacentral:rRNA from 1 species
GAUGAACGCUGGCGGCGUGCCUAACACAUGCAAGUCGAACGGAACUCUUACGGAUUGAGGCUUCGGCUGAUUGAGGUUUGAGUUUAGUGGCGGACGGGUGAGUAACGCGUGAGUAACCUGCCUUUCACAGGGGGAUAACGUUUGGAAACGAACGCUAAUACCGCAUGACAUAUUUUUGUCGCAUGGCAGAGAUAUCAAAGAUUUUAUCGGUGAAAGAUGGACUCGCGUCCGAUUAGGUAGUUGGUGAGGUAACGGCUCACCAAGGCGACGAUCAGUAGCCGGUCUGAGAGGAUGAACGGCCACAUUGGGACUGAGAUACGGCCCAGACUCCUACGGGAGGCAGCAGUGGGGAAUAUUGGGGCAAUGGGGGAAACCCUGACCCAGCAACGCCGCGUGAAGGAAGAAGGCCCUCGGGUUGUAAACUUCUUUUACCAGGGACGAAGGACGUGACGGUACCUGCAGAAAAAGCAAACGGCUAACUACGUG